UACGUAGGGGGCAAGCGUUGUCCGGAUUUAUUGGGCGUAAAGAGCGUGUAGGCGGCCAUGCAGGUCCGUUGUGAAAACUCGAGGCUCAACCUCGAGACGCCGAUGGAAACCAUCUGACUAGAGUCCGGAAGAGGAGAGUGGAAUUCCUGGUGUAGCGGUGAAAUGCGCAGAUAUCAGGAAGAACACCCGUGGCUAAGGCGGCUCUCUAGUACGGUACUGACGCUGAGACGCGAAAGCGUGGGGAGCGAACAGG
rnacentral:rRNA from 1 species